rnacentral:rRNA from 1 species
UGCAUCGCGUGCUUACACAUGCAGUCGAACGAUGAUCAGGAGCUUGCUCCUGUGAUUAGUGGCGAACGGGUGAGUAACACGUGAGUAACCUGCCCCUGACUCUGGGAUAAGCGUUGGAAACGACGUCUAAUACUGGAUAUGAUCACUGGUCGCAUGGCCUGGUGGUGGAAAGAUUUUUUGGUUGGGGAUGGACUCGCGGCCUAUCAGCUUGUUGGUGAGGUAAUGGCUCACCAAGGCGACGACGGGUAGCCGGCCUGAGAGGGUGACCGGCCACACUGGGACUGAGACACGGCCCAGACUCCUACGGGAGGCAGCAGUGGGGAAUAUUGCACAAUGGGCGAAAGCCUGAUGCAGCAACGCCGCGUGAGGGAUGACGGCCUUCGGGUUGUAAACCUCUUUUAGUAGGGAAGAAGGGAGCUUCGGUUCUUGACGGUACCUGCAGAAAAAGCACCGGCUAACUACGUGCCAGCAGCCGCGGUAAUACGUAGGGUGCAAGCGUUGUCCGGAAUUAUUGGGCGUAAAGAGCUCGUAGGCGGUUUGUCGCGUCUGCUGUGAAAUCCCGAGGCUCAACCUCGGGCUUGCAGUGGGUACGGGCAGACUAGAGUGCGGUAGGGGAGAUUGGAAUUCCUGGUGUAGCGGUGGAAUGCGCAGAUAUCAGGAGGAACACCGAUGGCGAAGGCAGAUCUCUGGGCCGUAACUGACGCUGAGGAGCGAAAGCAUGGGGAGCGAACAGGAUUAGAUACCCUGGUAGUCCAUGCCGUAAACGUUGGGCGCUAGAUGUAGGGACCUUUCCACGGUUUCUGUGUCGUAGCUAACGCAUUAAGCGCCCCGCCUGGGGAGUACGGCCGCAAGGCUAAAUAGUGAUUUUUUUUUCUGC